AAACUGCUGAGCAUUGUCAGUUCUUGUGAUUCAGUAUCUAUCCUCAUGCCUUGCAGCUCCAGAUCAGUCUGUUUCAGGAACGGGAAUAAGCAGAUACUGCAAACAUUGUUCUGGCCACAGAGAAGGUUGUGAAAGAAAUCAGAAGAUAACAACUUGAAGGGGGAAGAUCUGAGCUGGUCUUUCAAGAAGCAACAAAUCACCUUACCUCUUUAGAGACUGGACCUCUUUUUGUUUGGUUGUUUGUUGUUGUUGCAGUUGUUUGUUUGGGUUUGUUCUUUUUUUUUGCAUUUUGUCUUCAUGGUCCCAUACAAAGUUCUUCAUCUGCUACGGGCAGCAACUGUGAACCAUGUCUGAAAGACAGAAAUGCUAAUGUAGAAAUGCCUGCUCUCAGGGACAGUGUAAAGAGCAGAAAUACAAACUUGAAUCUGACUGCUUGGAGUUUUGUAAAACUAGCCUUGAAACAAUGCAUUUCAUCUAACUUAAAUCCAUGAAAAGUUACUGAUUUUAGUAUUACUUACAAUUGUCUCCUAAUAAGUACAUAGUGUGUUGCUGAUGAUGGGAUUUAGCUAGGUAAGGCAAUUAAGUUUGCCCUAUGGAAGUCAGAGUUGUUUCCCCUACAUUUCCACUCGAACACUUUCCAUUUUUCUUUGACAUCCAACUCCUCUUAUUUUAUUACAGUUAAAUGAGGUUAAAAUCUAUUCCUUUGGGGAUUUUACUUCCGAUUUGGUCAGGAAUAGGAUGUCAUCCCAAGGAUGCCCAAAGUCUGACAGCUAAUAAUGACUACACAAUUUGCAUCUGGGGCUUACAACUGCCCCGGCUCUGAGGGAGUUAAAAAUUUGUACACAAAGAAGAAAAAAGAGCUGCUUAAAAUCUGAUUUCCAGUGCAAGUCAUCCUUUACCAUAUGGUAAGGUAUUUAUCCCAACUACAUGUUGUUCAGUAAAUCACAAGGUUUUGCGGGGGGUGGGGUAGAAAGAAAGAGACUGUUUUCAUUUGAAAGUUUGUACUGCAGACUGUCUCUGUAAAUUGCUGUCAUUGCAAUGGCUGUGAAACUGCCUGAUCUGUAAGUCUUACUGGAAGAAGUCACCAGAAGCACUGCCCUUUUUCCGCCCCCUCCUCACACCUUUGCUGCACAGAUGGCAAAAGAAAUCGUCCUUCAAACCUGGCCCAGACAACGUUGCCCUGCCUGAACUGCAAGCAAACAAGACUUUUCAAACCAGGCUCAGGAAAGAAAGACAUACAGAUGAUACUAGUAUUUGCAACUUCAUUGCUUCUUGCAGUGGUGAAGAGCAAGUUUGCCUUGUAAUGAGCAAGUCAAGUUGCCAGAAAGGCGAAUAUCCAAAACACACCCAAUGACCACCUCUGUGGGGUUUUAUGUUGUCAUUUGUAAUUUACUUUUGGGGCUGGUACUAAUAUUCAGUUCUUCAUCCUUUGACUCAUAGAAAUUCUUCCUCUUCAAAAAGGAUGUAUCUCCCUACUGACCACGGAAAAAAUGUGGCAUGCAAUUCAAUCCUUUCCUGAUAGCACCGGACACAAGGAGAGGGCAAGUUAGAACACCAUGAUGAGGAAGUUCUGUCAUUUCCAGAAGGAAGCAUGAUUCACUGUGCAGAGCAUUUUUGGGAGCCUGAAUCAGAGCUGUCGAGGAAGUCAGUUCUUGGACAGUUUAAUGUUUAGUUUAACUAUGACUUUACCAGGGAGAUUCGUGCCUCUCCCCGUGCCCAGUGGGUACGGCAAGAUCAGGUUCUGGUAGCAAGAUGAGUGCCAAGGAAACAGCUUUCAAAUAUUUCAGGCAAAAUGAAAAGAACCCCAGAAAAUCUAUUCUUAAAUGUCAUCGCAAAGCAGUCCCCUGAAGCAGAUUUAAAGGAGAAAUAUUUUCUCACACUUUUUUCCCAGCACAGUGCAGGCAGUGGGAGGGACCUGCGGGUGGCCAUAAGGAGCCUGCAAAGGGAGGGCCGUGCAGUGAGCGGAGCUGGGCUCUUUCCCAAAAGGUCUGGAAUUAGCGCACUAGCGGAGAGAUGGCUCCAUUAGUCAUGGCACAGACCUGCUAAGUUAAGCUCUCCACAGAAAGAGGAGUUAUGUACUAGCUGCCAGCAGGCUGCAGGACAAAUCUGCACUGCUGCUUUUAAUUGCCAUUGUACCUUACAAGGAUCACAAUUUGAUUAAUGUUGUUCCCCCCACACACACACCCUCAUACACACAUGCCAUAUUGCAAAUCAGGAUUAGACUGGAGUAUCUUCCCCAGCUCUUUUGCCUCUCUGCUUUCCAUUUUCCCCCACAGGAAAGAUGAAGACUUACUGGCAAUGUGCUGUACAUCUGUGAAAGGUCCUCAGCUCGGAAACAGCCUGGUUGCGGUCUACCACAGGUCUGCAGGACUGUCCAUAAGGGAGCAUGCAGCUAGAUACACCUUCUCUCCUCAGGGGGACUUAGUGUUUCUGGCUUUGUGGAUAAGGAAGGGCUGAGUAUCAGAGGGAGGCGGAGUUCCUAUAGGAUGUGAAAGGAGAAUGGGAUACACGGAGCGUGCCUACGCAUCCCUCAAAGACGUCACUCUCUCUGUGAGCCAAAAGGGAACUGUUGGCUUUGAAUUGCUUUCCUGCAGCAGAAUUGGAAUGACCACCUCCAUCUUAGAAGGUUCCUACCUUCAUCUCCUUGCUACUACAUAUUGAGCUGCUCAGAACUUCUGGACACAAUUCCAUUUGUGAUUAAACUUGUCACAUCAUCUGUUACACCAGAAGUUGCUGGAAUUGACAGGACAAGGGGAAAUGGCUUCAAGUUGCACCAAGCCCAGAAAAGACCAAUCUGAUAACUUUAAGGGAGAUCUCUUCCCAUCAGAAAAUGUGGCAUGAAGGUCAUCACAGGGUGUGGCAUGGAAGGCAUGGGAGUCAUAUACCUCUCAGCAGUCACUCAGAGCAAACGGAUCUUCUCUGCUCAGCAUCUGCAAGUCAUAGCAUAUGGUCCCACCUGGUUUUGACAAGAUCUCCUCAAAGCUCCUCACGGGUCACCAGUGCUCCAUUCUUAUUGGUACUGCAAUCAGUGGGACUGAAUCCAGGAUCAGAUUUACCUUAGAACUGUGAAAGUCCUUGGUCUCAUUCACCUCAGCUGUCUCACAUUCCUUCUAUAUGGGAAUGCCACUGGCCUCUUCACUCCUAGGAUCUGAAGAAACCUCCCCUGCAUUUCUCGGGAGCAUCUCCAUAGCAGAGCCUUCUUCUACAGGGCUACAUGUUGUUCAUGGGCACACUUUUCCCAGUGAAGGAGCACAAAAAUUCACUUUCUUGGGAGGCUGACACUACCCAGGUGGCAGCUCAAAUUUGUGUUGUUUUUUUUCUAUUUGCAUAUACGGUUUCCAAAGUAUGUGGAUGUAGGCAUGAUGGUGAGCUGCUCCCAGUGUUCUGGAGGGGCAGCUUAAGAACUUAGGACCCUCUGCUUCACCAAUACAGCACGGAUCGGAGUUACUUUUUGACUCUGUAUCUUCUUGCAGAAGAUAAAUGGAUUGUUACAAGAUGUUUCAUCACCAGGCUGAGAGACCAGGGGUUACGAAGGCUAGGAUUCUGAUGUUCAAACCUAUGCUCAUUUCAAAUUGGAUGAAUUCCUGCUCACCAGACAACGAUCCACAGCCAGGCAUUAUGGACAGAUUAUUUAGUACAUUAGCAAAAGUGAAUUUGAUGGAUACAGUCACCAGCUGGACUGUGAUCUGAUAAAGCUGUCUCAGAGAGGACACAGUAAUAGGGCAGAACAAAUAUACUCAUUUCUUUCUGUAAGUGUAAACAGAUCUGUGUUUACUCUGCUCCAAAGUGUUUUUGUUUUUGUUUUCCUGUGCUAUCAACAUGUAAUCUUUCACUUGACUUAAUAAGUGUGUGGAUUUUGUUUGUUUGUUUGUUUGUUUUUACAUAUGCUAAAAGCCUUAAUGGGAUUCUUCAGUCCUGUCGCUCAUUUCCUGCUGACAACAAAUAUCCCCAGUUUCUCUUUGAAGAUUUUAUAAAGUCACACGUGGCCUUCUUGCCCUUAUUAAAAUAUCAUUUUUCCAACUGUU